rnacentral:lncRNA from 1 species
AUGCUGCAUCUCACAAGCUUCACUUUUUGUUGUGUUUGGUCAAGUUGUCUUCAUCUUCCUCUUCUUCAUCAAGCUCUGAUUCUUCCAGCAGUUCAUCUGAUUCAGAAGAUGAGGAUAAAAAGCAAGGGAAGAAAAGAAGGAAAAAAAAGUAUCGCUCCUCACGAAAGUCUUCAGCGAGCUCAACUUCUGAAUCUGAGUCAGACAGCAAGGACAGCACAAAAAAGAAAAGGUCAAAGGAAGAUUAUGAAAAAGAGAAGGAAGGUAAAAAUCACCACAGGAAAAGGAAGAAAGCCGAUCGUGGUGAUGGACCUUUAUCAUCAGAAUCCUUAUCAGAAUCGGAUCAGACAGAGGAGGUGCAAGCGAAAAAGAAGAAAAACAAUGAGGAAAAAGAGAAAACAGCAAGUAUCCUUCUUACUCAUACUGUAGUUUUAGGAUAUAAAUACUCUGUACUUGGUUAACUUCCAAUUUCACAUUUGUCAGUAAUACAAAUGUUUUAUAACAAAAGACUACUGUCACAUGAAUUUAAAUUAACAAUUUCUCUAUUUACCUGCUGUAGUCACAAUAAGGAAGAAUUUGUCACUAUUUUACCUAUAUAGAUAUAUAUGAUUUGAGAUUUAUGCAAGUUUAACACUUACUGUAGCAUGUAUUUUACUCUGUAUCAACCUACUAGAACUACUAAUAUCUGUGUAGGAUCAAGUAGGGUAGAAGUUUGCCACACAGGUAUCGGUGCUGUUCCUUUGUUAGUGUUGUGUUUAAUUCUUCCUUGGUAAGCCCCCUAUACCAGACAAUGAAAGGGCCUUAGGACAUAAUAGCUGCAACAUCUACACUCAUAUAAUUCUUCCCCCAACCAAAUAAAAAGCUGUCAGCAACCUGUUACUUUCCUCAAUUUUGUUGACUUGUUUCUGUUGCUAAAAGUAAGAGGAAGGUUCAGCAGUGAUUUAUAUAGACCCAGAUUCAUCACACGUACCUGAGGCUCCUUGUUAGGAGUAUAGUGAUUUUGAGAACUGAAUGCCCACUUGAGAUGUCUGUAUAUCUUUCUAUCUCCCCUGUGAGCAGCAGUGUUCCUAAUUAGGCAUCUUAGUUAUCUAGAUGAGUUAGGGUGAAGGGAAGGUUUACAUCAGUCACCUAAAAAUACAAGCAUAGGAGUAUCAGUGAUACUGAAUACACAUUUUCCAUGGAACUUGUUUGUUUUUUCAUAAUCAUAGAAGUGGUUUGCCAUAAAAUUUCUAGUGACUGAUAGUGAUUUUUUUCUUAGAAGAAUUGUGCAUGUAAGUAAUAUGUAUAAAACAAAGCUUUUAUACCAAGAGUGUUUUGUUUACAUAAUGUCACACCUAUUCAAGAAUUCCAGUUGAAAUCCUGCUUGCAAAAAGACAAGAUUGUAUCUCUCAGCUUCUGUAUUACAGUGAUCAGGAUAAUAACUUCAGGACUGAAUUCAGUAGGGUUAAUUGAGUGUAUUGAUAUUUACAACUGAGAUCAUAAUUGUUUUAUUUUAAAUGAGGUGCAAGUGCUAGACAUUCUAGCCAAGUGUAGUUGAACUAUUUAAUUUUGCACAGUAAAUAUAAGCACUUACUUCAAAAUCUGUAAACAUCCUAGUUAUUCCCACAUAUAUAAGAUGUCACUGCUUGUCAAAGCACUUCCUUAUUACUUUCUCAGAAAUAUAUAAAGCACUGAAAAUCAUUUAAAAGAUUAGGAAAUGUAAUAGUGACAGUGAUGAGAGGUGUGAAAUAGCCAGACCAUGAUGGAGGUAAAUUGAAGACUGCUCAUACUAGUGCAAAUUACUGGGUAAAAUACGAAUUUUCUUUUUGUGAUUUCUCACCAGGCUUUUGUAGAAAUCUCUUUUUAAAUGUCUUUACAAAGAUACCCUUUCUGUGCUCUCAUUUUGCUUUAGCAGAAUUUAAUAGAUGCCAAUUUUAUUAUACAAUAACUUCCAUUUAAUUUUUGUUAUUCUUCAGGAUAAAACAAAAAAGAGAAAGAAGCACAAGAAACAUGGUAAAAAGAAGAAAAAGAAGAUUGCUGGUUCAAAUUCGGAUUUGGAAUAAUAUUUAAAAAAAACAAGACUAUCAACAGAAGUGCAAUGACUAAAGGAAACUUAAACUGUGAAAUGACAGCAAACUUUACCAAACUGCAUGAGUUUUCCUGUGUUUUAGAAAUAUUCCUAAUCUUUCAGUAGCCAGCCAGAUGCAGCUGUGCUGGGAAAGACCAUUGUUAUUGCCUGCUGCUUAAUACACGAGGUACAACUUUUAUAAAAUUCCAGUAAGCAGUGUCAGAUGUUUGAAACAAUAUGAGAUGGUAGUCCAGCUGAGGUGUAAAAUAUUGGAAAAUGAGAGUUAAACUUUUUAGAUAGUAAAAGUAGUCUUUUAAAGCAUUAGUAAUAGUCUUUAUUUGUAAAUCAGGACAAAUAAAAUCCCAAGUUCAUCCUGCAGGUUAAUAUUAUACAUAAACUAUUACAAGCUGGUGUCUGCUAAUGGCAUUUACAAAAUGGGAAAUUAAUGAUAACAUUUAAAAUGCUGCCUUUGUAGAAAUGUUUAUCAUCUGCCCCAUUGCCGUCUUCAUGCUUACGAGAAGGGGAAUGCUACCAUUUUGGCUAACUGAAUAGGGUGCCUUUGCCUUUGAUUCUUGCAAAUCUUUGCUAUUUUUAAUCCAUGCAGCAUCUCAGAUUCUAGGGAAGCCAGAACUAUUGUCAGCAGGCUUUUUCUGAAUAAGCAGUUCUGGGCUUCUAAGCAUGUGCUUCUGCAUUAAGCAAGAGCAAUGACAUUUUGCAGUAUAACUGACAUUCAAAACCUGAAGAUUUUACCUCUGCUUCUUUGAAAUAGCGAUAGAUCUUUGCUAGUAAAUAUGCAUAUUUCAUUUAAUGUACUUUUGGUUUAGUUGAACACUUUUUGCAAACACUGGUAGCUUUCUUUGCAUUAUCUUUAGAAUUGUUUUGCAUGAUUUGUACCAUCUUUAAAUUAACAAAAUGCAAGUAAUCGUUUGUUGUAACCAGUUCUAUGAAUUACGUUCCACAUGCAGAGUUUCAUGUAUGUAUUUAGUUAUUCUUACAGUCAAGUUCAUUGCUGUGUUUAAGUGCACACUUGCUGAAGAUACUUAGCAUGUAAAAAGCAGGGUUUUGAUACCUUAACAGCUUCAUAUUGAAGCUGAUUUUACUCUUAAGCAAGUUCAGUGGCAGACCUGUUACGUGAUGUGUCUUGUUAGAUAAAAAAAACUACUGCCAGAAUCUCAUUAAAGAUGCUGUUUAAACAGUUUGUAUUUAUAUUUUUGUACUUGAGGGCUACAGAAUGUUGACCUAAAUCAUAAAGCUGUUUUACAUUAAAUUAGUUGCUUUAGAAAUUGAAAAAAGCUUUUAUAAAUUAAAUGUGCAUGCAAGGAAACACAAGCAACCAUUCAAUUUUAGUUUUUACAUGAAAUUCUCAUUGCAUCUUCCAUUGAUGUAGCCAUUGCUGGGCCUCCUGUUAGCCUUUAAAAACUGCCCAUCCACCCCGAGUGGUCGACUAUAGAUUGUACUCUUGAUCGACCCCCUUUUUCAUUGCACAGGUGCUAACUUAGAGCUUUCCUCUAUUGCAUACAGAUGUUUCAAAUAUUGUAUUGCCAAGAAUUUUAAGACCUUUAAGACCUUGAUUAUUAGUCUGCAAACCAUAACUAAAAACUGGGGGAGAAAGAUGAUUUUGUAUUGCCAUUCUACAGAGAAAUUGACUUUUCAAGUUAAGUUCUUGGGAAAAUACAACCGUUGAGUUGCUGUAAUGUCCCUCUAAACCAUAGUAAGAAUAUUUUGAUUAAAUAUUUUAUACUGUUGGGCUUGAUGUUACAGAUUCUCGACACUGUUUUGUCAGUGAGGUUAAAAUAAAGGCAAGAUGCAGUGAACAGUAGGGGUUUGGUUUGGGGUUUGCAUUUGGUUUUGUUGGGGUUGUUUUCUUUAUAAAUUGUGGUGUUGCAGUUUUGGUGAAAGAAGUUGUAAUGAACCAUAGCAUAAAUGGUCUGUCCUGUGUGAUACCUUAUUUGAUUCUUACACAACUACCUGCAACAGAAAGAAAUAAAAAUGGAAAUGAGCCCCAGUAUUCCAAGUACAUAAGCCGGUAUGUCAUUUUAAUUGUCUGAAUAUAACUAUUUGUUCUGGGCAGCUGUGGGCUUCAGAUGCUGCUGUCAUGCUUUGGAAGUGGUGUAGCUGCGUAAGGGGCUUAUGGGUGCUGUCCGUUCACAGCAAAGCUGCUUUAAUACUGACAGUGAAAUAUUUCCAUUUUCAAUCCCCUAACCAACACAUCGCGACUCCUCUUGCAUCCUCUUCUUCCUGAGGAAAGAGUAAAGUCUGGUC